rnacentral:sRNA from 1 species
UCCAGAAAUUAAGCAAAAAGGCAGUUGA